rnacentral:rRNA from 1 species
GACGAACGCUGGCGGCGUGCUUAACACAUGCAAGUCGAACGGAAAGGCCCUGCUUUUGUGGGGUGCUCGAGUGGCGAACGGGUGAGUAACACGUGAGUAACCUGCCCUUGACUUUGGGAUAACUUCAGGAAACUGGGGCUAAUACCGGAUAGGAGCUCCUGCUGCAUGGUGGGGGUUGGAAAGUUUCGGCGGUUGGGGAUGGACUCGCGGCUUAUCAGCUUGUUGGUGGGGUAGUGGCUUACCAAGGCUUUGACGGGUAGCCGGCCUGAGAGGGUGACCGGCCACAUUGGGACUGAGAUACGGCCCAGACUCCUACGGGAGGCAGCAGUGGGGAAUAUUGCACAAUGGGCGGGAGCCUGAUGCAGAAACGCCGCGUGCGGGAUGACGGCCUUCGGGUUGUAAACCGCUUUCGCCUGUGACGAAGCGUGAGUGACGGUAAUGGGUAAAGAAGCACCGGCUAACUACGUG